rnacentral:lncRNA from 1 species
UCGUUGAAUCCUUAGGUAUGGCAUAGCCGUUGAGUUCCACUUCCUCUGUCACCGCGUGAGGCAGCAGCAAGUGAACUGGUGGAUGCCGCCUUAGACCUUCCAAGAUCACUGCUUUUAAGUAAGGCAUUUUUUGUACAUCUUCCUCUUUCACUAUGUUCGUUUUUCCUUCGUUCGGGUUCCCUGUGUUAACUACCUCACAUAUUUCUUGGUAUAAUUUUUCUUGAAUAGAAGGGUAUUUGACUAAGUUGGCCAUAAUCCAUUGCAAUGAGGUGGACGUGGUAUCAGUGGCUGCAUUGAGGAACUCGCUGCAGAGGCUAAUUAUCUGUCCAAGAUUAAGCUUCUUCUUUUCCUCCG